rnacentral:rRNA from 1 species
GACGAACGCUGGCGGCGUGCUUAACACAUGCACGUCGAGCGGAGCUGCGAACGGGUGAGUAACUCGUGAGUAACUGCCCCCCUCUCUGUGAUAACAGUUGGAAACGGCUGCUAAUACCGGAUAGUUGGGGAUGACUCGCGUCCUAUCAGCUCGUUGGUGGGGUAGUGGCCUCCCAAGUCGACGACGGGUAGCCGGCCUGCGAGGGCGACCGGCCAAAUUGGGCUGCGAGACGGGCCAAACUCCUACGGGAGGCAGCAGUGGAGAAUAUUGCACAAUGGGGGAAACCCUGAUGCAGCAACGCGCGUGCGGGAUGACGGCCUUCGGGUUGUAAACCGCUUGCAGCCAUGACUCGGUAGUGGCAGAAGAAGCACCGGCUAACUACGGGCCAGCAGCCGCGGUAAUUC